AAUCUUCCGCAAUGGACGAAAGUCUGACGGAGCAACGCCGCGUGAGCGAAGAAGGCCUUCGGGUCGUAAAACUCUGUUGUUAGGGAAGAACAAGUACCGGAGUAACUGCCGGUACCUUGACGGUACCUAACCAGAAAGCCACGGCUAACUACGUGCCAGCAGCCGCGGUAAUACGUAGGUGGCAAGCGUUGGCCGGAAUUAUUGGGCGUAAAGCGCGCGCAGGCGGUCUCUUAAGUCUGAUGUGAAAGCCCCCGGCUCAACCGGGGAGGGUCAUUGGAAACUGGGAGACUUGAGUGCAGAAGAGAAGAGUGGAAUUCCACGUGUAGCGGUGAAAUGCGUAGAGAUGUGGAGGAACACCAGUGGCGAAGGCGACUCUUUGGUCUGUAACUGACGCUGAGGCGCGAAAGCGUGGGGAGCAAA
rnacentral:rRNA from 1 species